AAUGAACGCUGGCGGCGUGCUUAACACAUGCAAGUCGAGCGAGGCCAGGGGGGCAACUCCCUGAGUCGAGCGGCGGACGGGUGAGUAACACGUGGGUAACCUACCCGGAAGUGGGGAAUACCUCGGGGAAACUCGAGCUAAUACUGCAUAACAUCUUUGGGACGAAAGUUCUGGCGAUCAAAGCGGGGUCGCAAGAUCUCGCGCUACCGGAUGGGCCCGCGCCCGAUUAGCUAGUUGGUGAGGUAACGGCUCACCAAGGCGACGAUCGGUAACCGGCCUGAGAGGGCGAUCGGUCACACCGGAACUGAGACACGGUCCGGACUCCUACGGGAGGCAGCAGUGGGGAAUCUUGCGCAAUGGGCGAAAGCCUGACGCAGCAACGCCGCGUGGAGGGAUGAAGGCCCUUGGGUUGUAAACUCCUGUCGGCUGGGAAGAAGUUGUUCGCGACUAAUACUCGCGGACAUUGACUGUACCAGCAAAAGGAAGCCCCGGCUAAACUCUGUGCCAGCCGCCGCA
rnacentral:rRNA from 1 species